CCUACGGGAGGCAGCAGUGAGGAAUAUUGGUCAAUGGUCGGGAGACUGAACCAGCCAAGCCGCGUGAGGGAUGAAGGUACAGAGUAUCGUAAACCUCUUUUGUCAGGGAACAAAGGCGGGGACGUGUCCCCGGAUGAGUGUACCUGACGAACAAGCAUCGGCUAACUCCGUGCCAGCAGCCGCGGUAAUACGGAGGAUGCGAGCGUUAUCCGGAUUUAUUGGGUUAAAAGGGUGCGCAGGCGGUCUGUUAAGUCAGCGGUCAAAGCCCGGGGCUCAACCCCGGCCCGCCGUUGAAACUGGCAGUCUAGAGUUGGAGAGAAGUAUGCGGAAUGCGCGGUGUAGCGGUGAAAUGCAUAGAUAUCGCGAAGAACUCCGAUUGCGAAGGCAGCAUGCCGGAUCCACACUGACGCUGAGGCACGAAAGCGUGGGUAUCGAACAGGAUUAGAUACCCCUGUAGUC
rnacentral:rRNA from 1 species